rnacentral:tRNA from 1 species
UCCUGGGUGGCUCAGAUGGUAAAGCGUCUGCCUACAAUGAGGGAGACCCAGGUUCGAUCCCUGGGUUAGGAA